GGGGCAGCUACUUCAGCAGCUGAAUGAGGGAUCUCUACAUCAGCUGUUAAGAUCAUGGGCAGAUGGUCUUCCUAAGCAUUUGAAUCAUACAUCAGACCUGAUUCAAAACCAUUAUUGAAGCUCAGCAAGCUCUCCUGUAACUAAUCAGGAACCUUAGGAUUCACAACUGGUGGGUAUACUUCAUCUACUUUUUUUUGGGGGGAAGGCUGGCCCCGUCUGGAGGUCUCAUAAUCCACCUAAUUUUGGGGGUCUGCUGCGCCCCUGCCUUCGUCUUCAGGCAGGAAAUGCAGAUUCGCUACCCUCGGAUUACGAACCAUGGACGGGGCCUUCCGCCAAAAAAAUUUAUAAUUGUGCUCGCUGAGCUGUCAAUAAAUGUAUGCUUCGUACAUUCCUCUAUCUCCCGAGUCUUUCUGGUAGAAAUGGAAGCUUUAGCCUAAGUUCUGCCAGGAAGACUCAAUCACUUCGUCACUAAUUACCUUCAUCAUUAUCCAAUCACGUCUUUAUACUCCUGUAUAAAAGAUCGUACUUACACAUGUUUGAGUUCGCAGAUGCCAACGCGACAACAACCUCCACCCUCCCCACCACCACCAGGAUGGUCCUGUCCUUACCUUCCAGGGGGGGGUCUGCUGCGCCCCUGCCUUCGUCUUCAGGCAGGAAAUGCAGAUUCGCUACCCUCGGAUUACGAACCAUGGACGGGGCCUUCCGCCAAAGAAAUUUAUAAUUGUGCUCGCUGAGCUGUCAAUAAAUGUAUGCUUCGUACAUUCCUCUA